rnacentral:rRNA from 1 species
GUAAUGUCUGGGAAACUGCCUGAUGGAGGGGGAUAACUACUGGAAACGGUGGCUAAUACCGCAUAACGUCGCAAGACCAAAGAGGGGGACCUUCGGGCCUCUUGCCAUCAGAUGUGCCCAGAUGGGAUUAGCUAGUUGGUGAGGUAACGGCUCACCAAGGCGACGAUCCCUAGCUGGUCUGAGAGGAUGACCAGCCACACUGGAACUGAGACACGGUCCAGACUCCUACGGGAGGCAGCAGUGGGGAAUAUUGCACAAUGGGCGCAAGCCUGAUGCAGCCAUGCCGCGUGUAUGAAGAAGGCCUUCGGGUUGUAAAGUACUUUCAGCGGGGAGGAAGGUGUUGUGGUUAAUAACCGCAGCAAUUGACGUUACCCGCAGAAGAAGCACCGGCUAACUCCGUGCCAGCAGCCGCGGUAAUACGGAGGGUGCAAGCGUUAAUCGGAAUUACUGGGCGUAAAGCGCACGCAGGCGGUCUGUCAAGUCGGAUGUGAAAUCCCCGGGCUCAACCUGGGAACUGCAUUCGAAACUGGCAGGCUUGAGUCUUGUAGAGGGGGGUAGAAUUCCAGGUGUAGCGGUGAAAUGCGUAGAGAUCUGGAGG